CGGGGAUGCCGCGUAUGGAAGUUCGUCAGAUUUGCAUCGUGGCAGACUAAGUGCUUUUCACUGGGUUCUCGAACUCAAUGCCUCCUUAAGGGUGGCAUGCCAAAGAAGGUGUUAGACCUGUAAGUCUGUAUUCGCGAAUGUGAAUCAUCGGCGAGCUUUCUUGAGUAGGGCUUUUCAGUAAUUGAAGCCUGAAGAGGUGGUAAACUCCAUCUAAAGCUAAAUAUCUCCUCGAGACCGAUAGCAAACAAGGUACCGUGAGGGAAAGUUGAAAAAGAACUCUGAAGAGAGAGUUAAGAGAACGUGAAACCGCUGCUAGUACGUAAAGCGAAUGGAC
rnacentral:rRNA from 1 species